GAUGAAGAACGCAGCGAAAUGCGAUAAGCAGUGUGAAUUGCAGAAUUCAGUGAAUCAUCGAAUCUUUGAACGCACAUUGCGCCCUUUGGUAUUCCAAAGGGCAUGCCUGUUCGAGCGUCAUUUGUACCCUCAAGCUUUGCUUGGUGUUGGGCGUCUUGUCUCUAGCUUUGCUGGAGACUCGCCUUAAAGUAAUUGGCAGCCGGCCUACUGGUUUCGGAGCGCAGCACAAGUCGCACUCUCUAUCAGCAAAGGUCUAGCAUCCAUUAAGCCUUUUUUUCAACUUUUGACCUCGGAUCAGGUAGGGAUACCCGCUGAACUUAAGCAUAUCAAUAAGCGGAGGA
rnacentral:misc_RNA from 1 species